GGGUUUUUAUAGGCACAGGAUGGGGGCGUGGCAGGCCAGGGUGGUCUUGGGAAAUGCAACAUUUGCGCACAAAGGCAGGAGUGCCUGACCUCACCUAGGUCCUUGAGGGUGGAGCCAGGGACCACGCCCUUCCUCUACCCACACUUCCCUUCCCCACUUCCGUAUCGUUUAAAGGGACCAUGCUCUUCCCUUCCCAGCACUUCCGUAUCAUUUCCUCUCUCUGAAGAGGUACAUCUAACUGCUGUUAGAAUAUGGACAAUGACCAGUUUUAGCUGCUUCCUACUGUCAGGGGUCAUUGUUUUGGAGGAAAACAGCAGUCAGACUCCUCCCAGAAGUGUUCCUAGCAAAGGGCAUUGUCAACCACGGAUUAGGUGCUGACUGUUUUGCAGCCAAUGAUUCAGGUAGAUUAUCUCCAUUGAUUUUCCAGGCGCUAUCACGUGAGAAAGAUGCUGGGACAUCAUGGACAUCGACCUUUCUCUUUUGCACAGCUUUAUGUUGAACUUUGAAUGGUGGGAUGCUGAUUGGCUGCAUGUUGCUGGCUUCAUUAUCCAGCAUCUCUAGUUCAUCAGCCUCAGGGGCUAUUUUCCUGGAUUUUCCACAGUAUAAGAAAGGCCACAGAGUGAUCCAUAAAAAAAAAAUUCCAUUGCUGAUUCUUGGUGCAGAAUACCAAUACCAGAUGCCAACUACAAUCAUGGGAGAUUGGAAUCAAUAGAGAAAGUACAUUCCAGGAAGCGAUGAUACAUCUGGGGGCUGUUGAAAGUAGCUGUAUCACUUAGCUGGAGACCAAGGAGAAGCAGAAUUUCUUUCUUAUUAUCAAGGUGCUAGACCAGUCAGCUUGGAAAUGAUCCAAAACCCGAUUUGGCUUGCAGCUGUAGAACUGGAACCACAAGCCUAUUUGGGGACAUGAGAUUCAGAUGUCGUGGAGAAUUUCAGGAGCAACAAACUCCAGGUUUGGAUCAGUGAUUUUUCUGGGGAAUUGUGGAUCCAGCAGACCAACAAUCUCAUAGCUCAACCAAUGACAGAUACCACAAGAGAAAUAAUUUUCACACUGAAGUCACCCAACACCAUGAGCAAACAAGUUACAAGUGUGGAUGGAAAAGCUCUUGUUUCUGCAGCUCAUGGGUGAGAGAAGCCUGCUGACUGGGAAUUACUUACACUGCAAGUCAGAAGACGCUAUAGAAUCGGGUGACAUAUGGCCCUCGGGCCUCUCACUUCUGUGAUUGGCAGGUCACACUCUCUGGUUUUUUGACUAAGGCCUGUCACAGUUGAAAAGACAGCUAGUGAAAUGGUUUUCACUUCACUGAGGGCUAUACCACAGGUCACCCAGUGCUGCCACCCUCACAGUGAAAUGCUGCAAUGCGUCUUGGUUAAGGACAAUGCUGAGGGUAGUUUCACUUGACUGUGUGUCGCUGCUGGAUGAAAUGGUUACCAAAUGGACUAAUGAAAAAAAGAGGAAAUACUGUAUGCUAUAGAGAUUUGCUAAAGCUGACAAAGGAUGUAUUAUUUAUUAACAUGCUUAUACAGAAGCUGGAAUCACACCUUAGUAAAUAUAAGAAAUAAGUAUAUCCAAAAUCAAUUCUAUUUUUGGGUAAGAAUUAAGAAGCAAACAAGGGAAAUACCUCAUUAACAUCCUAAUUAAUAGGAAAUUUGUAAAGAAAAUCUAGAAAACCAUGAGUGUCUUCCAGGGGAUAGAUUUGAUCUGAUUUGAUAGAAUCAAAUCAUUUGGCUACAAACCUCUGCAGAGUUUCUCCAGCUUGUAUACAUUACACAACAGUAUAUCUUCAUUAAUGCAAAUGUAUAUUUAAUUGUCCCUAGAAUGAAAUUAUAUAGCAUUUAGAAAUGAAUAGAUGCAUAGCCUUUGGGAUUGUUCAUGGUGAUAUCUCUCAGUUAUAUUUGUGUAUGUGUAGUGUGUGUGUGUGUGUGUGUGUGUGUGAGAGAGAGAGAGAGAGAGAGAGAAAGGGAAGAGAGGAAGGUAGAGAGAGAAAGAGAGAGAGACUGAGAGAGCACUUAUUUUCAUCAGUGAUAGUCUUUGAUGAUUCAAGAGACGGAUGUGGAUUAUUCUGGCAGACAUUUCAAUGUUACUACUUGAUAGAAGUUGGAAUGAUAGAAUGGUAGGUAGGGAGCCUGUUCUCUGUGUGCAUUUUUCUUAAGUAAUACUUUCCUUUAUUUUUUCUGUUUUUUUUUCUCCCUACUCUUUAUUUUUUUUUUUAAAUAAAAAUCUUGAGUUGGUACUCAAGUUCAUUAUGGGACAUCAUUAGAAAAACAGAAAAUAAUGUCAAAUAUGAUAACAUUGGUGAAACAUUCCUUUAAAGGGAUUAAAAAAAAUCUAAAACCACAUAAAUGCAAGUAUCUAGCUUUAAAAUCUUCAUUUCAUGCUAUUUCAGAGGGCACAUUGAUUUUUGAGUGUCGUCCUUGAUGCAUCUGUCGAGAUCAGGAGAUACGGCACAGUAUGCUCAUCACAGGGAGGGAGGGUCACACAAUGGUUAAAGAGCAAAUUGUACCGAGAAAAGUGUAUAUUCUGUCAAAGUAAAAUAAUUCUAUGAAAAUGGUGAUCUCUCCCCUUGUCUGUCUGCCUGGUUCUUUUUAAAAAAUAUUUCAAAUUUUUUUUUUAUUUUUCUUUCUCACAGUUACUGACAGAAAAAAAUUAAACUCUGACAUUGAUAUUUUUAACUUUCUGGGUGAGCUGAUUGUACACAUCAACAACUAAAACCGAACACUGGCUAAUGUUCACCUAGUAAAAAAAGAAAUGGCAAGUUAAUUAAACAGAAUGCUUUUAUUCUGUAUAGUCAAAGCUAGUUAGUUAUUUCUGCUUUUAUUAUGUCAUGAAAAUGAUAAUUAAUUUGAAUUUUUAUAAGUAGGUUUAAAUUCAUUAUGUAUUGCAGUUCACAAACCCAGGCUCAAUCAGAGUUAUCUUAUGAUGAGACCUUUUUCCUUAACUUAAAGUAACAAAUGAUCAAUGUUCAUAUUAAAUGUUUAAACACAAUCCACAAAUUGUGAAUAGUUGUUUCUUUACAUGGGUGUUAUUUGGUAUCUAGUGUUUUUUCAUAUGCAUGUUUAUCUGACUCUCUCUGUCAUUUACAGGGUUUAUCACCAUCUGAAAUCCACCCCACCCCUUAGUCAAUUGGGUGGCCUUUGUCCAGAAUAUCCUCUGCCUGCCAUCUGCCCACCUGGUCUGUUAGUGGUUGCUUUCCCUGGUUUUCAUUCUAAGCUACACUUUCUCAGGCAUUUUGCU